AGAGUUUGAUCCUGGCUCAGAACGAACGCUGGCGGCAGGCCUCAAACAUGCAAGUCUAGGGGGUGUAGCAAUACAUCACCGGCGGACGGGUGCGUAACGCGUGGGAAUGUACCUAUUGGUUCGGAACAACUGAGGGAAACUUCAGCUAAUACCGAAUGUGUCCUUACGGAGAAAGAUUUAUCGCCAAUAGAUCAGCCCGCGUCCGAUUAGCUAGUUGGUGGGGUAAUGGCCCACCAAGGCUCCGAUCGGUAGCUGUUCUGAGAGGAAGAUCAGCCACACUGGGACUGAGACACGGCCCAGACUCCUACGGGAGGCAGCAGUUGGGAAUCUUGGACAAUGGGGGAAACCCUGAUCCAGCCAUGCCGCGUGAGUGAUGAAGGCCUUCGGGUUGUAAAACUCUUUCGCGCACGACGAUAAUGACGGUAGUGCGAGAAGAAGCUCCGGCUAACUUCGUGCCAGCAGCCGCGGUAAUACGAAGGGGGCUAGCGUUGUUCGGAAUUACUGGGCGUAAAGCGCGCGCAGGCGGCUAUCCAAGUCAGUGGUGAAAGCCCGGAGCUUAACUCCGGAACUGCCAUUGAAACUGUUUAGCUUGAGUAUGAGAGAGGUGAGUGGAAUUCCCAGUGUAGAGGUGAAAUUCGUAGAUAUUGGGAAGAACACCGGUGGCGAAGGCGGCUCACUGGCUCAUUACUGACGCUCAGGCGCGACAGCGUGGGGAUCAAACAGGAUUAGAUACCCUAGUAGUCC
rnacentral:rRNA from 1 species